GACGAACGCUGGCGGCGUGCUUAACACAUGCAAGUCGAACGGAAAGGCCCUGCUUUUGUGGGGUGCUCGAGUGGCGAACGGGUGAGUAACACGUGAGUAACCUGCCCUUGACUUUGGGAUAACUUCAGGAAACUGGGGCUAAUACCGGAUAGGAGCUCCUGCUGCAUGGUGGGGGUUGGAAAGUUUCGGCGGUUGGGGAUGGACUCGCGGCUUAUCAGCUUGUUGGUGGGGUAGUGGCUUACCAAGGCUUUGACGGGUAGCCGGCCUGAGAGGGUGACCGGCCACAUUGGGACUGAGAUACGGCCCAGACUACUACGGGAGGCAGCAGUGGGGAAUAUUGCACAAUGGGCGGAAGCCUGAUGCAGCAACGCCGCGUGCGGGAUGACGGCCUUCGGGUUGUAAACCGCUUUCGCCUGUGACGAAGCGUGAGUGACGGUAAUGGGUAAAGAAACACCGGCUAACUACGC
rnacentral:rRNA from 1 species